AGCAGAACAAAUAUAUGGGCCUA
rnacentral:siRNA from 1 species